UUUCCAGACUCCUACGGGAGGCAGCAGUGGGGAAUAUUGCACAAUGGGGGAAACCCUGAUGCAGCGACGCCGCGUGAGUGAAGAAGUAUUUCGGUCUGUAAAGCUCUAUCAGCAGGGAAGAAAAUGACGGUACCUGACUAAGAAGCCCCGGCUAACUACGUGCCAGCAGCCGCGGUAAUACGUAGGGGGCAAGCGUUAUCCGGAUUUACUGGGUGUAAAGGGAGCGUAGACGGCAGCGCAAGUCUGAAGUGAAAUCCCAUGGCUUAACCAUGGAACUGCUUUGGAAACUGUGCAGCUAGAGUGCAGGAGAGGUAAGUGGAAUUCCUAGUGUAGCGGUGAAAUGCGUAGAUAUUCGGAGGAACACCGGUGGCGAAGGCGGCCAACUGGGCUUUAACUGACGCUGAGGCUCGAAAGUGUGGGGAGCAAACAGGAUUAGAUACCCGCGUA
rnacentral:rRNA from 1 species